ensembl:lncRNA
CUUUUGACCUGUUCUCUGUUUGCCUUGGUCGGGCACAGGAAUUUGCUUCAACCUCUCAUGCCCACUGCCAGCCUGCCUGGCACCACCACAUUUAUUUUUGUUCUUUACAAAUUGAACCUUUGCUUUAUCCUUAUUGACACAUUCCAAGACUGAAGGGAGCCCAACUGCAUUCAAAAAACAGGAGCACAAAAAAAUAGUGUUCCUGAAAUUAAGAUGAAGACAAGUCAGAGAAGUGGGGAAAAAGACACAACUGAGGCAGCAGCUUAAAAUGUGUUGCAUUUUUAUUUAAAAAAAAAAAGACAUUAAAUAUUCAAAAUCAUCUCCUUUCUCAGAGAAAAAUAAUAGCUGUGUGAUUUCUAGUUAGCUAUGAUAAAAAAAAAAUCAUUGCAUGAUAAACUUGAAUACAUUUACCCGUGAACAGAGAAGAGUCUUACCAGCAAGAAGAAAACAAAAGCAAGAAAGGAAAAGAUAAAAGGUGACAUUACACAAGUGUGACCCUGGCUCUGCUAACAGACUGGGGCAGGAUGGCUGGGUGUGCAUGGAGAGAACUGACUUACUGAGAGGUGAGAGGUUCACUGGCCUUAAGAAGCAGUGAACUACGAUGAGGAUGUAUCUGAAUGUCUGACUGAUGUAGAUGUGCACAGAGCUAUCCAAAGAGCAACAGAAGGAAAAGGUUGAUUUAAAAAAAGAAGAAAACAUUCAUUAGUGAUUAUAUUCCCCAAAGUACACUGAAUCAUAGACUUUUGCUGUGCAAUUGGUGAGUCACUGGUGUUCAUAAGAAGUUUGGAUCAGCUUAUAGUUCUUUCUUAUAUAAAUAAGGUUUUUUUAUUUUUACGUACUGUACAUGAUGUCUAGUCAGACACAAAGCUGGCCAGGAAAUACUAAUACUAAUACUAAUACUAAUACUAAUAAUAAUAAUAAUAAUAAUAAUAAUAAUAUAUAAAAAGACACACAAAUAUUAGGGAGGGAAUAGCUUAAACAUAUUUUUAUGUGUGUCCUCCCCCUUAACAUCAAGUCUUUGAAUAGAUUGGAUAUAGCACCAACAGGCUGGUUCUAAGAUGUUGCUGUCUGUUAGAGGAAGUUUACAGCCGAUGUUUUUUAUGCUACCAAGCUACUGGGCAAGCAUUCUUUGUCGGCGCUCUCUCCACUUUUCAAGUCUUUACACAGGACGCAGGAGAGCAUCAGGGCAGGAAGCUCCUCGAGGAGGACCACACCUCCUCCCUCGGACCCCCUACCACUUGUGUGAAUGCAUAUUUGGUGCCGUGUUCACCUUGUGGAGAUUUGUUGGCGUACGAUCAUACAAGCAAGUUUUUUCAAAGAAACAACAACAACAACAACAACAACCAAAAGAAAAGAGAAAAGAAAUAGUUGCAUUGAAUGGAAAACUUCUAAAGGGGCUGAUCUCUAAGUUUGCUGUCAGAAGUCCUGGUGUAGUUUUGUUUCUUUCUUUCUUACAUUUUUUUCCUCCUCCUCCAUAGGUUAGUAUUGUUUUUUGUUGUUGUUGUUUUUCAAACUGUAUCACACUCUUUCAUCUGACAUUACCUAGGAAAGGAAUGCAGAUGCUGAUAGGUCCAAUUGUCUUUAACUGCAUGCAUUGACAAGUAGCAGUGCAGCUAAAGUGCUUUAAGUGCUUGUGCUUGAAGCAUGAGGGGCAGCUGGCACCUGUGGCAAUGCAAGCCAGUCAUACCGGGCUCACCCCGAUUAAAAAAAAAAAAAACCUACACCAGGUUGCAUCACUGACAAGAGAGGAGUACUGGAGGUGGGCAGGGUGCUGGAGAGAGGAAAUUAGGCACACGGAUUGGACACACCUUCCAACAGUAGGGGUGAAGACAAGAAGGGUUGGAUGGGCUAAGUGAGAAGAUGUAUGACAGAGGGGCUGAAGGCCAAAGGGGGACAUGGAUGAAGACAAGAACAGCAAGGGCACCAAAAAGAAAGACGAGAAGUUAAACUAGCCAAAGUGAUCCCUAAAAUUGCAGAGCAGCAUGCAAGUGCUUAAUACUCCUCUGAAAACAUGUCUUUCAGAUAUCAAACGUGAACCUGUUAGCAUGACAGGACACUCUGAAGAGCUUGCGACUUGCUAUUGCUGCAGGGACUGGCAGCUGCAGUUACCAAAAAAAUAUGCAAAAUUCCACUAACCAUUCCUGCUGUUGCUACAUAAGCCAUCUUUCCACUGCUCAUUCCCAUUGUCAUUUUCACUUUGGUUGGCUUUUCACAUCAACAAAAGAGUUGACCAACCUUCAUAAAGUAUCAUUUUCUUUCUUUUUAUGCCAAUUUAGUGGAUGUGUUUUCAGAAGCUGGUGAAAUUCAAUUCAAUUCAAUUCAAUUCAAUUCAAUAGUUGCAAAACACAACAACAGUCACAUCAGGCACUUUAUACUCCAAGGUAAAAACCCAACAAUAAUAAAGGGAAAACCCCCAAAAUCAGAUGACCCCAUAUGAGCAAGCACUUGGCAAAAGUGGAAAGGAAAACUCCCUUUUAACAGGAAGAAACCUUGAGCAGAACCAAGCUCGGGAAGGAGCAGCCAUCUGCCAUGAACACUUGGGGGUGAUGGGAGGGAGACAAGACAAAAUAUAUACUGAGUCAGAAAAUCUUCCCUCUUACAUAUUCUGUGAUCACUUGACAUUAACAGAACAAAAACUGUAUUCCAGGAGCUUUAUUGCAUUGUCUCCUUGGCCAAGCAGCAUCUGUAGAUAUAACGUAAUAAUAACGUAGCUUUAGCAUCCAAUAGAACUAUAAGUUUACACUCUUAAAAUGUGUCCCGAAGAACUGGACUUUCCUUCAAAAGCAGUUUAAGAAGUUUACAGUGCCAUGAAAACUUUUUUUUCCCUGAUUUUCUUUGUUAUUUUGCAUUUUAAUCACACUUAACAAAUUUUAAUGUUAGACAGAGAUAGCCCUGGUUUUCGAACAUGAAUGGUCUGUUUAAGGUCACGCCAAAGCAUCUUAAUCAGACUAGACCUCGACUAGUUCACUCCUAGUCCACUGUUUUCUUGAGCCAUGCAGAGGUGGACUUGCUGGGGUGCCCUGAAUGUAUUGUAUUGCUGCAUUACCUUACGUGCCCUUCGGGCACAUGGCACAAACUGAUGGUCGGAAAUUCUCAUUCAGGAUUUUCUAGAAGAGCAGAAAUCCCAUUACUUUUUUUUAGUAUGAAUGGCCAAAACAGGAGGUUUUUAUCAAUAUGAAAAGCCGUCAAACUUGUGAAAAUACAGUUAAAAAUCCAAAACUUCUGUUUGUGCUUGUUUAUGGUGAGCAGCAGAUCAAACAAGAUAAGAAUUCUAAAUAGCUUCAACGCACAUUUUCAUUAAGACACUUAGACACUGAGCCACGGCUCUGUGCUACAUGCACACAUUUCCGCAUCUCUGCCAUUAAAAGAAACUUUAUAUAUAGGUUAUUUUAUGUAAUAUUCAAUACUGAACUGCAAUUUUUGUCUUUUUUAGAAAAGCAAUUUUUUAUUCACUGUUUUCCUAAACGCCUUGUUUUUAUAGAUUUACUAUGAGGGAGAAUACGCAUCAGGUUUAAGGCCUGGAAAAGUUUGAAAACUUUUGUUUUCCACAAUGAAAAAAAAAAAUUAGGAUCACCUUAGCCAGCUCCUAAUUUUAUAAAUUCUGCACUCGGGUUUGCGUCUCCAAUAUCAUCGAAAUGCACCCAGAUGCAGCUAAGUUUGAACAGCUUUUCCCCUUGCUAAACAAAAACAUUAUUUGAAAACUGCAUUUUGUCUUUCCUUUGGCUAUCUGUGUCCAAUAUUAGAAUUCAUUUGAUGACCUGAAACAAUUGGGUAUGGCAAAUAUACAAAAAAAGGAAGAAGAGAAGGAGAAAAUACUGUUUCAUGGCACUGUAUCAGGAUCUUUGUGUAUACUGUUUUAGUUAUAGCUGCUCUCCUCAUCAAAGAUGCAAGCCUCAAAAUUGUCAAGCACGAUACUCAUAAGGUAGCUUUUCAGUGAAGUAUUGCUUUAUGCUACUGAAGAAGAGGAAGAGCUGAAUCUGAAGAGGAGGUAAUGAAAGGCUAGUUUUUAAGGCACUGUGGCUGCAUGGACUGCCUCCAAUCCCUUUGCCCUGCAGGUUAGUAACAAGGAACUAGAAACAGCAAGGCUGCCCCCCGAGCUGCACUAAAAAGUUAAAGCCCUACCAUCUAAUAUUUUAUAAUCCUUCACUUAAUAAUGGACCCUGAGCCAGAGUGCUAUGUUUUUUCUGCAUUGUUUAAUGGAGCAGGGCCUGGGGAUGGGCAGUCAGACAUCUCUAAACUGAGUUUAGUGACAUGCAGUAUUUACACAAACAAACACACAAACUCACACGCCACUUGCAUGCAGACAUGGAGCUGUGCAUGCAUGUUACACAGCCACACACACACGCAGUUACUAACUGGCAGAUGGGCACACAAACACAAACAAACAAACAAACAAACAAUGGCGUUGGUUUUUUAAGAGGUGGGGGUGCAGGUCACAGUCACAAACAACUCCUCUUUAAAGUGAGUGGAAAAAUCCCUCCUUCCUCUCUCUAAAAGAAUAGUGCAGUUGACGGGUCCCCCUCCCCUCCCCAGCUUUCAGCUUAAACCUUUAUUUUAAAAAAAGGACAGAGGUGGUUCCCCCUAGCACAGGACAGAUAGCUGUGAUGGACAGAAGGCUGUGCGCUAUCCUUUAC